rnacentral:rRNA from 1 species
GGUGAAAUAACAUUUUAUUUAGUAUUUUUUAAUGAAAUAUAUAUUUUAGUUAUAGUAGAUUAGUACUGUGAAGGGUUGUUGAAAUAAUUGAAAUUGAAUUUUAUUUAAGUAAAUUUUGUUUAUUGUACCUUUUGUAUCAGGGUUAAUUAAAAUUUUUAAUUUAUUUUUUUGUCCCGAUUUUAGUAGAGCUAUGUUAUUAAUUUAUUUAAUGUUGAAUAAUUAUUGAUAAUAAUUCAUAGAUGGGAUAUCUAAUUCGUUUCUGAAGGUAUCUGGUUUCUUAAUAAAUAAAUUUAAUUUAUUCUUUAUGUGAAAAUACUUAAUUUUUAAGUUUUUUUAUUUAAAGUUAUAUAUUAUAGGGGAUAAGCUCUAUAUUAUUUCUAUAAUAUUUAUUUAUUUUUAUUUAUUGUAGGGUUGUAAUUAUCCAUCAUUAUUAAGUGUGUUAUAAUUUAAGAUUUAAAAUUAUUUGAUUUAUUUUUAUUUAGAAUUUUAUUAAGAUUAAAUGAUGAAUUUUUUAUUUUUUGUAAUAAUGAUUAAAUUAGUAUAUUUAUAUGUUUAAAUUAAUAUAAUGACAGGAUAAAAUAAGGAAUUCGGCAAAUUUAAGAUUCUCGCCUGUUUAUCAAAAACAUGUCCUCUUGAUUUAUUAUGAGAGGUUUGACCUGCCCAGUGAUAUAUUUAACGGCCGCGGUAUUUUGACCGUGCAAAGGUUGCUUAAUUUUAUCAAAAACAUGUCCUCUUGAUUUAUUAUGAGAGGUUUGACCUGCCCAGUGAUAUAUUUAACGGCCGCGGUAUUUUGACCGUGCAAAGGUAGCAUAAUCAUUAGUCUUUUAAAAGGGGGCUGGAAUGAAGGGUUUGACGAGGAAUCUACUGUCUCAUUUUAUUUGUAUUUAGAAUUUAACUUUUUAGUCAAAAAGCUAAAAUUUUGUUGGAAGACGAGAAGACCCUAUAGAGCUUUAUACUUAUUCAAUUAUUUAUUUUAUAUUAUUUUUAAUUAUUUUGAUUAAGUAUUUUGUUGGGGUGACAAAAAUAUAUAAUUAACUUUUUUAUAUUAAUUACAUUGAUUUAUGAAUAUUAGAUCCAUUAUUAUUGAUUGUUAGAUUAAGUUACCUUAGGGAUAACAGCGUAAUCCUUUCCCAGAGUUCAUAUUUACGGAGGGGCUUGCGACCUCGAUGUUGGAUUAAGAUAAUUAUUAGGUGUAGCCGCUUAAUUAAUAGGUCUGUUCGACCUUUAAAUUCUUACAUGAUCUGAGUUCAGACCGGUUUAAGCCAGGUCGGUUUCUAUCUCCAAUUUUAUUUUUGUUCUUAGUACGAAAGGACCAGAACGAGAAAAUAAUUUUUUAUUUUUGAUUAACAAUUACUUUGGCAGAAAAGUGUUAUAGAUUUAGGAUC